GAUGAACGCUAGCUACAGGCUUAACACAUGCAAGUCGAGGGACCGGCGCACGGGUGAGUAACACGUAUCCAACCUGCCCUUUACUCGGGGAUAGCCUUUCGAAAGAAAGAUUAAUACCCGAUAUAAAGGAUGGGGAUGCGUUACAUUAGGUUGUUGGUGAGGGAACGGCUCACCAAGCCUUCGAUGGAUAGGGGUUCUGAGAGGAAGGUCCCCCACAUUGGAACUGAGACAUGGUCCAAACCCGGAGGGGAGGCUGGAGGGAGUAAUACUGGGGAAGGGGGGCUAGCCCGAACCAGCCAAGUAGCGUGAAGGAGGAAGGCGUUGGGGUCGUAAUCUUCUUUUAUAUAAGAAUAUGUAUUAUAUGAAUAAGGAUCGGCUAACUCCGUGCCAGCAGCCGCGGUAAUUC
rnacentral:rRNA from 1 species